UACAGAGGUGGCAAGCGUUGUUCGGAAUUACUGGGCGUAAAGGGCGCGUAGGCGGCUUGGUCAGUCCCGUGUGAAAUCCCUCGGCUCAACUGAGGAACUGCACGGGAAACUGCCUGGCUUGAGUUCGGGAGAGGGAAGCGGAAUUCCGGGUGUAGCGGUGAAAUGCGUAGAUAUCAGGAAGAACACCCGUGGCGAAGGCGGCUCUCUGGUACGUGACUGACGCUGAGACGCGAAAGCGUGGGGAGCGAACAGG
rnacentral:rRNA from 1 species